ensembl:misc_RNA 7SK 7SK RNA
GGAUGUGAGAGCGAUCUGGCUGUGACAUCUGUCACCCCACUGAUCUCCAGGGUUGAUUCGGCUGAUCUGGCUGGCUAGGCGGGUGUCCCCUUGCUCCCUCACCGCUCCAUGUAUGUCCCUCCCCAAGCUGCAUGCUAGGUCACAGAGGACGGCCUUCCCGGAAUAGAGACGGACUGGUCUUUGGUCAAGGGUGUAUGAGUAGCUGCACUCCUCUGCUAGAACCUCCAAAGAAGCUCUCAAGUGUAGUAGAAAGCUUUUGUCCUUCCAGAACAGGAAAAGGCACCAUAUUACUUCUUUUU